GAACCAUCACUGCACCAGAUAAAAUGGUUAGCAUCAUUUGUUCCUACUCUAUGUUCUGAGUUUAAAUUCUGCCAAGUUCAACUUUACCUUUCAUCCUUUUGAGGUCGCUAAAAUAGGUACCAGGUGAGCACUGGAAUCGAUGAAACUUAUUUA